AGAUUGAACGCUGGCGGCAGGCCUAACACAUGCAAGUCGAGCGGCAGCACGGGUACUUGUACCUGGUGGCGAGCGGCGGACGGGUGAGUAAUGCCUAGGAAUCUGCCUGGUAGUGGGGGAUAACGCUCGGAAACGGACGCUAAUACCGCAUACGUCCUACGGGAGAAAGCAGGGGACCUUCGGGCCUUGCGCUAUCAGAUGAGCCUAGGUCGGAUUAGCUAGUUGGUGGGGUAAUGGCUCACCAAGGCGACGAUCCGUAACUGGUCUGAGAGGAUGAUCAGUCACACUGGAACUGACGACACGGUCCAGACCUCCGUAGGGAGCAGCAGGUGGGAAUAGUUGGACAAGUGGGACGAAAGGCCGUAGACUACCGAGCCUAAGUACGG
rnacentral:rRNA from 1 species